rnacentral:rRNA from 1 species
UACGUAGGGACCAAGUGUUGUUCGGAUUUACUGGGCGUAAAGGGCGCGUAGGCGGCGUGACAAGUCACUUGUGAAAUCUCUGGGCUUAACCCAGAACGGCCAAGUGAAACUGUUGUGCUAGAGUGCAGAAGGGGCAAUCGGAAUUCUCGGUGUAGCGGUGAAAUGCGUAGAUAUCGAGAGGAACACCAGAGGUGAAGACGGGUUGCUGGGCUGACACUGACGCUGAGGCGCGAAAGCCAGGGGAGCAAACGGG